CCACAAAACCAUCCUCAGUUCAGAUUGCAGGCUGAAACCGCCUGCAUGAAGUCGGAGUUGCUAGUAAACGCAGGUCAGCAGACUGCGUUGAAUACGUUCUCGGGCCUUGUACACACCGCCCGUCACGUCAUGGGAGCUGGUAACACCUGAAGCUGGUAUCCUAACCGCAAGGAGGGAGCCAUCGAGGGUGGGACUGGUGACUGGGACGAAGUCGUAACAAGGUAGCCGUACCGGAAGGUGCGGCUGGAUCACCUCCUUU
rnacentral:rRNA from 1 species